UACGGGGGGGGCAAGCGUUGUUCGGAAUUACUGGGCGUAAAGGGCCAGUAGGCGGCCAACUAAGUCCGACGUGAAAUCCCCCGGCUUAACCUGGGAACUGCGUCUGAUACUGGAGGGCUUGAGUGCGGGAGAGGGAUGUGGAAUUCCAGGUGUAGCGGUGAAAUGCGUAGAUAUCUGGAGGAACACCGGUGGCGAAGGCGGCAUCCUGGACCGACACUGACGCUGAGGCGCGAAAGCUAGGGUAGCAAACGGG
rnacentral:rRNA from 1 species